rnacentral:rRNA from 1 species
UACGGAGGUUGCAAGCGUUGUCCGGAUUCAUUGGGCGUAAAGCGAGUGUAGGCGGUUUGACAAGUCGAAUGUGAAAUCCCGGGGCCCAACCCCGGAACUGCAUCCGAUACUGUCUGGCUAGAGUCCCGGAGAGGGUGGCGGAAUUCCCGGUGUAGGGGUGAAAUCCGUAGAUAUCGGGAGGAACACCAGUGGCGAAGGCGGCCACCUGGACGGUGACUGACGCUGAGACUCGAAAGCGUGGGUAGCAAACAGG